ensembl:lncRNA
GGUGGCUCAAAUUGUAAAGAAUCUGUCUACAAUGUAGGAGACCUGGAUUCAAUACCUGGAUCAGGAAGAUCCCCUGGAAAAUUCAGGAGAAAUUUUUUUUAACGUUUAGCACUUAAGAAAUUUUUUAAAAGUCACUUUAGCUUACAUUUUUGCUGUGAAAAAGUAUAAUAGCCUUUAACAGAGAUUUUUAAGAAUAAAAUUACGUUGACUUUUCUGUGAAGACUGACGGAAGGCUGAGUGGGGUAACGGUCACCAUCACUGGAGAAUGUACUUGUUAGAAGAUGCAUUGGUGGGCAGACCAAGGCCUGGACCGACUGGAGGGAAUAGCCAGCUCCUGCCUUGACCUCAUGACAUCUGUGUCUUUAUCACUUUCCUUACCAUCAUCACUGCUAGAGAAAAACUUUCUCCCUUGCUUCCCUGUUUAGGAUUUACUCACAUUGUCACUUUCAGGAACAAGUGCACUAAACAUAUUAAGGAAAUAAAUAUAUUACUUUCUUAUCUAAAAAAGAAUAAAAUUAUGUUACAUAAAUAAGAUUGUAUGAAAUUAGAAUAAAAUCUGAUAAGGAAGGGAAAUGGAAAAACAAGUUCAAAAAAAUAAAAGGAAAAAUUUUAAUUUCCAGUUGUUAAAUAAGAGCUUAUUUUUGAACUGCUAUUCUUUUAGAUGGAUGAUAAUAGGGGAUUAAUCACUUUAGCAUUUAUAUUCCCUAGGAUGCAGUUUAAAAUUUUGUAACAAUUUUACUUUUAAAAGGGAAUAUUUAAAAUAAGUUGGAAAUUAUUUAAUUUGUACUUACUUACAUUUUGGACAAAUUUCAGAUGUCACUUUAAAGUUGUGCAAGGAGUUAUAUUGAUUUUCAAAUCCCUUGAGGGAGUAUAUAAACAGGAAGUUGAACUUUCAGAGCUAGAAUUGGUUUUCUAGCUAUAGAGUCCUCCAUGGAGAAUCCUUUGCCUCGACUAGUUUCCCUGGAAAGAAAACGGUACCCAUCUAAAAGAGCACACUGUCUCCUGGAUGCUGCCAGUAUUCUGGGGUGGACUUUCAGAUAUCCAGGUCCCAGCCUUCAUGUCCCUAUGUAUGCAAAAUGAGAGCGCGCUAAAGACCAAAGAGACAUCAGAAAGCCUCUACUAGCACUCCUUCCCUUUACUCAUGAACAGACUGAAGCUCAAGCAGCCAGCAUGGUUUCGUACAAGGGCUUGAAUUUUGCAAUCAGGCUUGAAUUCUGUCUUAGUAACCGUGUAAACUUGGAUAAGUUACUUAAACUUUCUGAGGCUUGGUGUUGUCUUUUGUGGAAUGGGGAUGAUAACGCUUAGCUGCUAGGCAUGCCUUGAAGAAUUUAAUUAAAAUUACGUAUUUGAAUGUCUGAUAAACAGCACACACUUAGAACUUCUUAGUCCUCCUCUGUUUUUCAGGUAGUAAAGUGAAUUAGGAACAGGAACCUGCUCUAGAUCUUGAGCACAUCAGACUUCUAUGUUAUACUAUUUCUACCACAACUGCUGGUGAGUCCUCCCAAAUCUCUAGCUUCUGGAAAUGAAAUCCCUCUAUCUCUUGCCUGUUUUGACCGUAUGCAUUUUCUCUCAGUCUCCUUUAAAUUGCCUAGGAAAAGCAGCAGAUCAAUUCUUCUUAUGGUGGACGCUGAAUUUUAUGCACGGUCACUCUACCUUAUUCUCCAAGAACUAGUGCCAAACUUAUUUCUUCAGAAUCAGUGAAUCUUCUCUAAGGCUUUUUUUAAAAGUUCAAUGCAUGGAGUGACAAUUUUCAGAGAAAUAGGAAAGCAGAAGAUAAACGGCAGACCAGAGAGUCCAUACAUGAGAAAAAGGUUUUCAGCAAGUAAUCAGUCAGUAACUCAAAGGAGAGUCCAGACAUCCUAGUAUACCACAGUAGACUGUGAAGUGUAUGACAAGAAAUGCAUUACUAAUGAAGUGCCAAUGUUUACAAAGACCUUAUUUCUACUUUCUUAUAAAUUACAAAAGAUUUAAAAUGAUCUAACAGCAUCACUUCUACUUAAUUCCAUUCUACUAAGUUUUCUUUGAAAGAGAGAGAGGCUGGCUAGAAAACAAAGCUGUCGGGCUUGGUAUCUGGCAUGGUAAAUAGCUUGCCUUAAUUAUGUUGAAGCCUAUGAGAAAUCUUAUUGAUACACUAAACAGAGUUGUAAAUAAAUGAUAUG